UGUACACACCGCCCGUCGCUACUACCGAUUGAAUGGCUCAGUGAGGCGUCCGGACUGGCCCAGAGAGGUGGGCAACUACCACUCAGGGCCGGAAAGCUCUCCAAACUCGGUCAUUUAGAGGAAGUAAAAGUCGUAACAAGGUCUCCGUUGGUGAACCAGCGGAGGGAUCAUUA
rnacentral:rRNA from 2 species